GAGAGAGAGCAAGCUCUGUCGAUAGGUCUACUAGCAACAGCCCUGCUGCAGCGAGAAAGAGACAGAGACAGACAGAUCAUGAGAGAGAAGUAAUAACAACAUUGUGCAGCAUGGUUCUUUCAGCCAUCCAGCAUCUUUUUAAAAAAGAAAUAUUAUUUGGGGACUCAUUUCGUACCGGCGGAUUUGUUCAUUGACGAUACGGGAAAGAUGCAACGCAGUUAAUCCCGCAGUGGGGGGGCAGGUGUAGGAAGGGUUAAUGGGAGGAAAAUUCUGGAAUGUUCUAUCCUGCGGCGAAGUGAGCAGAGGGCUGAGGACUGCACAGGUGUAGACAAACUGAUCUCACGGUUCCUCUUUUUCUUUACGACAGCUCAUCUAGCUUAAGGAUGAAUUCUGAAACAGAAAGCUAUCAAGAACCAGCUCUGAAUUGAAUAAAUAUGUAAAUAAAGUGAAGAAGCAGAUUUUUUGGCAUUUCUGUUCUUCCAGUUUAGUAUGACUAAAUGACAAACGUCUUCCCUGGUGUCGGUAUUCUCCACUAACUGGCUGAAUAAAAUGAUCUCCAGAAUCAUCCAGAUACAGUGAAAAAGAAGAACAUGGAUUUUAGGAGAAAAACCAGUUAAUGUGUUGUUCUGCAUUUUCCAACAUAACACGAGAUACUCAUGUGGAAAUAGCCAUCAAGGCAGGCGUAUUUUGAAGAACAGAAGGAGACACAGAUGGAAGGUAUAAUUGAAUACUGCCUGCAUAAAAAUCAUAUAGCAAAUGAAAUGAAAAAACAUGAUGUAAGAAUAAAGAAAGAAAAAAGAAGGACCACCAAGCACAGACCCUUUUGGGAAGACCAACAACAGAAGAAACGGAAGAGAAAUUUGAGCCAAUAACAAAAGCAUAAAAGAGAAGUUAGCAUGAUAAGACAGAAACAAACAAAGGACAGAACGAAUGAGUGAAGAGAGUGAAGAAAAGAAAAACAACAACAUUGGCCUGAUGUAGAGUAGAGUGCAGAAGAAAGGUCCAAGAAUAAUAAUAUAUUGAAGUAGAAUGAAGCAUACCAAAAAGGAUCAAGAAGAGAGUAUUAGGUACAAUACAGAGAAGAAACAAAAUUUAUAUUUAUUUAUUUAUGUAGAAGAAUUGUAUGCUGCCUCUCCAGGAACCUACCUGAGUCAGCUUACAAAAUAAAGAAUAAAACAAAUCAUUAAAAGUUAUUUAUCAAAACUGAACAUUAAAAUGUUAGGAGCUUUGACAGAAAUAAAAGAGACAUGAGACAAUAGAGCAGAGGUCCGAACAUGGGACCUCUGGACACCACGGUGCCUGCCAGCACUUUUCCUAGCACACACCAAGUGUUUGUAGAAAACACUUGCCCAGCAUGACUUUUGAUUGCACAUGGGAGAUUCAAUUGGCUGUGCAGAUUUUUAAAAACAUUGAUUUGACAGCAGCUGUCACCACAGCCCAAGGAUCUUCACUGUGUGACUGAAGGCAAGAUGUGGUUGCCACUUUGUGUGGCUGCCCCCACCUCCAGCAGCAGCCACUGUACCACACUGUGUCAAAAUUGCAAAAGCGCCUGCCAGCUCAAAAAGGUUGGGAACUUCUGAGUUAGAUGAUCCAAAUUCUUUUUUAAAAAAUAGGAAAAACAUUGCAUGCAUAAGACCAACCAGAAGAGCUACUGAAAAUUGCUAAGAAUUUAAAGCCUGACUAUCACAGGUUUCCAAGGACAAGAAAAAGAUGUUGCUAUCUGUAAAAAAUAUCCUACAUACUUUCAGUUCACAGAUUCCAGGGCAGGUCACAUGCUACUCUUUUUUUCUUUUUUACCACAGCAAAUUUAGAAUAAAGUAAAAGUUACCUGGAAGUGGACAAGAAACAAGAUUACAAAGAAAUCAAGGCAGGAACUGAAGAGUGUGAGCAUGUGUUAAAAAGAAAAAUGGGCAAGAAAGAAAGUCAGCAUGAAGCUAUCAAGAAUAGAGAGAAAAGUUGAAUGAAUCAGAACAGGAGCCAGGCAUCAAAGUGCAGAUUAAAAGGUGGAAAAGAUUCAGAUAACAUGAAUUUUAAAACUCAUGAAGAAAGAAGUGGAAACUUGAAAAAUGAAGAAGAAAAAAACCUAAGUGGCCAGUGGAAGAAUAUGCAUGAGUGAGUGUUGAGAGUAAUUAUAUUGCGAGAGAGAGAGGUCUGUGCCUUUGUAAUAGCAAUACAUGUAAGUGACCGGAUAGAAAGAAAUUGUACCAAAUAGUUGCUUUGUUAACUGUUGAGUGGCAGUUCAGUAUGCCAAAGGGUGGUAUAAAACAGAAGUGAAAUAAAGUAAUGAAUCUGACUAAGAACUGGAUUUAGGAAAGAUGUUAUCAGGAACAAAAAGUAAAAACACAACAAAUAUCUCAGAAAAGACCAGGAAAGAAACAGCAGCAGAGAUUACCAAAAAAAAAAAAAUCUUUGUGAAGAGUACUGAAAUACUGAAAUAGUCACAAUGGCCCACAUAAGUUGCAGUUGCCUAAGCAGACCCCAUGUACUCAAUAUAUAGCCUCUCGGACUGGCAGCUGCUAAACACAGUAAAUGGGUUUUCACCUCCUAAUGGUUAGGACAGGUAAGGAAAGGUAGGCAUCUGCCUCACAGAGGAGCAGAAGGAAACAAGUAAGAUCCCUAUCUGUAAAUGGAGCAGAUGGCCAGUUUCCCUUUAACACUUGAGUAGAGUAGAGAACUUCUACCUGUAGGUCAAUGGUCCCUUGAAAGAACUGGGUUCCCUCAGAGGUUUGUUUGGCCCCUGGAAAUAUUUCUUCAGCAGCAGGUUGACAGUCUUAGUUAACCUUAGCUGUAUGGAGCCCACUGUUAUUCAUCUAGGGUUGCCAAACCCCCCAGUUUGCCAGGGGCCCCCCGUUUUUUGGG